AGGCGGCGCGGCAGCGGGCGGUGGACGUGGUUCCCGGGGAGCUCCUCGUGAAGCAGCAGGAGGUUGAGGUCGAGGCAGCGGCGGCGGUGUUGGCCGCGGCGGACGCGAAGGAGGAGGCGCGCCUGGCCGAGGUCGGGUGGGAGGAGGCUACGUGGCAGCGGGCGGCGAACCAAGAUCCGGAUCUCCCGCUCUCUCUCUCUCUCUCUCCUGGUCUUCAACGACACACGGCAGAUGGGGAGGAUGGCUGGGAGGUGGUGACCUGCUUCCCAAGAGUCCAUGAAGAAGCUGGAGCUUGUGGCGCCCUUUUGCUACAGGCCUAGGUAUGUGAUGUCUUCCCCCUCUCCCCUUAAAGAACCGAAUUUUUUGAAGCCUACAGUGCAGGUUUGACCGCAGCGACGAGGUCAAGCGGCUGUCCAAGUCGACGAAGAGCAAACCAUGAAGGAUCUGGGGCUGUUCGGGCCUGCAGUGAUUUAAUUUGCGGUGUGGGGAUAGAGAGUGGGUAAUGAUGGUAUCUACCGUCCUCCAAAACAUCAGAAGGUAUUAUGGAUGAUAAUCAUGGUAAAGACGCUUCAAGGAGAGAAAAGGCACUACCAAGUAUGGUAAUAUAAUAUUCUUAUCUCAAGGAGAUUAUUGAUGUUGCUGCUUAUAGGUCAAAAGAGUGGGACAUGAUUUGUACUGCUCUAUUUCGAUUUGAGAUGAAGAUUUCUAUCUGUGCUGCUGCUACCGGGGUUGUGCAGGAUUCGAUACAACAUGGUGUUUAUGUGGUGGAGAGGGAGUCCUGGAGGUCAUCGUCAACCAGAGAUUGCUAAUGGUAUUGCUGUAACCUUUUAAGAAACAAUGGUGGAAAUUAAUCUGGCUAUGGUAAUGGAAACUA